AUACGGAGGAUCCGAGCGUUAUCCGGAUUUAUUGGGUUUAAAGGGUGCGCAGGCGGCCAUUUAAGUCAGCGGUUAAAUCGUGGGGCUCAACCCCAUUCUGCCGUUGAUACUGGGUGGCUUGAUUGCGGUCGAGGUUGGCGGAAUUCGUUGUGUAGCGGUGAAAUGCAUAGAUAUGUAGAAGAACACCGAUUGCGUAGGCAGCUGACCAGACCGCAAAUGACGCUCAUGCACGAAAGUGCGGGGAUCGAACAGGAUUAGAUACCCUGGUAGUCCGCACAGUAAACGAUGAAUACUUGUUUUCGGCGAUAUAAUGUCGGAGGCAAAGCGAAAGCGAUAAGUAUUCCACCUGGGGAGUACGCCGGCAACGGUGAAACUCAAAUGAAUUGACGGGG
rnacentral:rRNA from 1 species